rnacentral:rRNA from 1 species
UACGAAGGGGGCUAGCGUUGCUCGGAAUCACUGGGCGUAAAGCGCACGUAGGCGGUUUCUUAAGUCAGGGGUGAAAUCCUGGAGCUCAACUCCAGAACUGCCUUUGAUACUGGGAGACUUGAGUUCGGGAGAGGUGAGUGGAACUGCGAGUGUAGAGGUGAAAUUCGUAGAUAUUCGCAAGAACACCAGUGGCGAAGGCGGCUCACUGGCCCGAUACUGACGCUGAGGUGCGAAAGCGUGGGGAGCAAACAGG